rnacentral:sRNA from 1 species
CAUCUCUCCCCAGGCUGUUGGCUCUGGAAUCCCCGAAAUGAAGACAAUACUUCGUGGGGUUGUCCUGAAGGAAUACCUCACGAUGAAAGCCUUUGUGGCCAAGGUUGUCGCCCUGACUGCGGGCCUGGGCAGUGGCAUCCCCGUGGGGAAAGAGGAGUGCUAUUUAGCAUCGAGGUCACCUCCACCUACUUUGCUGUUCGGAACUACUGGCGAGGAUUCUUUGCAGCGACGUUCAGCGCCUUCGUGUUUCGAGUGCUGGCAGUGUGGAACAAGGACGC